rnacentral:rRNA from 1 species
CGGCGGCCGUAACUAUAACGGUCCUAAGGUAGCGAAAUUCCUUGUCGGGUAAGUUCCGACCCGCACGAAAGGCGUAACGAUUUGGGCACUGUCUCAACAACAGACUGGGUGAAAUUGUAAUACCGGUGAAGAUGCCGGUUACCUGCGACAGGACGGAAAGACCCCAUGGAGCUUUACUGUAGCUUGACAUUGAGUCUCGGUGCUACAUGUACAGGAUAGGUGGGAGGCUAUGAAGCAUGGACGUCAGUCUGUGUGGAGCCAUCCUUGGGAUACCACCCUUGUAGUACUGGGAUUCUAACCAGCUGCCUUGAAUCAGGUAGUGGGACACUGUCAGGUGGACAGUUUGACUGGGGCGGUCGCCUCCCAAAGAGUAACGGAGGCGCUCAAAGGUUCUCUCAGCACGGUCGGAAAUCGUGCGUAGAGUGUAAAGGCAGAAGAGAGCUUGAUUGCAAGACAUACAGGUCGAGCAAGGACGAAAGUCGGACUUAGUGAUCCGGUGGUACCGCAUGGAAGGGCCAUCGCUCAACGGAUAAAAGCUACCCUGGGGAUAACAGGCUGAUCUCCCCCAAGAGUCCACAUCGACGGGGAGGUUUGGCACCUCGAUGUCGGCUCAUCACAUCCUGGGGCUGUAGUAGGUCCCAAGGGUUGGGCUGUUCGCCCAUUAAAGUGGUACGCGAGCUGGGUUCAGAACGUCGUGAGACAGUUCGGUCCCUAUCCGUCGCAGGCGUAGGAAAUUUGAGGAGACCUGUCCUUAGUACGAGAGGACCGGGAUGGACGUACCGCUGGUGUACCAGUUGUUCUGCCAAGGGCAUAGCUGGGUAGCUAAGUACGGAAAGGAUAAGCGCUGAAAGCAUCUAAGCGCGAAGCCUACUUCAAGAUAAGAUUUCCCACCGUAAGGUUAAGACCCCAUGAAGACUACAUGGUUGAUAGGUCAGAGGUGGAAGUGUGGUAACAUAUGUAGCUUACUGAUACUAAUAGGUCGAGGACUUGACCAA